GCGCUUGCAGAGGAGACACCAUGAUCAGUCAAGUGGCUUUCCAAGAGCAAGGUUUAUCCUUUGCACUCUGGAUGUGCUGACCCCUGAGAUUUCCCCAAAUGCAGGAAACUUGACUGCAUAAUUUGUGGUAUGGGGGACUGCGUUUGUGCUCUUCCCUG